rnacentral:rRNA from 1 species
UACGUAGGGUGCAAGCGUUGUCCGGAAUUAUUGGGCGUAAAGAGCUCGUAGGCGGUCUGUCGCGUCUGCUGUGAAAACUCAGGGCUUAACCCUGAGCUUGCAGUGGGUACGGGCAGACUAGAGUGCGGUAGGGGAGACUGGAAUUCCUGGUGUAGCGGUGAAAUGCGCAGAUAUCAGGAGGAACACCGGUGGCGAAGGCGGGUCUCUGGGCCGUAACUGACACUGAGGAGCGAAAGCGUGGGGAGCGAACAGG